AGAGCGAACGCUGGCGGCAGGCCUAAAACAUGCAAGUCGAACGGACCCUUCGGGGUUAGUGGCGGACGGGUGAGUAACACGUGGGAACGUGCCUUUUGGUUCAGAACAACUCAGGGAAACUUGAGCUAAUACUGAAUAAGCCCUACGGGGGAAAGAUUUAUCGCCAUUAGAGCGGCCCGCGUUGGAUUAGCUAGUUGGUGAGGUAAAGGCUCACCAAGGCUACGAUCCAUAGCUGGUCUGAGAGGAUGAUCAGCCACACUGGGACUGAGACACGGCCCAGACUCCUACGGGAGGCAGCAGUUAGGAAUCUUGCGCAAUGGGCGAAAGCCUGACGCAGCCAUGCCGCGUGAAUGAUGAAGGUCUUAGGAUUGUAAAGCCCUUUGUUGGGAAGAAAUCGUACGGUUGAAUAUUCCGUGCGGAUGACGGUACCAAAGAUAAGCACCGGCUAACUUCGCGCCAGCAGCCGC
rnacentral:rRNA from 1 species